CCAGAGGAUACUUCCUGUUCUCAGGUCCUCUCUCACAAGCAGGAGAGGCUCAUGUGUCAUAUUUUACUGCACAUGCAGUUCAUGACGGAGCUGGAGCUUUGACACCUCACGCCAUAAGCAACAUGAGUGUGGGUUAUGUCAUUGCCCUCACACUGCUCUGGUUCAUGGGUUCUGUUUUGAGUUCAGUGGUCAACCAAACUCCUAGAAAUCUUUUCACGAAGCAAGAGGGUUCAAUGAAGAUCCUCUGUCAACAUAACUACUCAAGCUACAAUCGCAUUUUCUGGUACCGACAAAACCAGAACAGAGAAAUGACUUUACUGGCCUAUCUCACUGUAACAUCACCAAACUAUGAAGACAAGUCCAAGAGCAAUAUUGAGCUGCUUGGGGACGCCAGCACUGAUAAAAAUAACUCCAUUGAAAUCAGCAGUCUUUCAGCACAAGACAGCGCUCUGUAUUAUUGUGCUGCUAGUACACAGCAGAAUAAUGUCCCUAUCAGCACAGCAAAAACCCCUCACAUGGCACUCUUUAGUUUCAUACACACACCUGUUUGCAGCAGCCGGCUUUUGGCAUUAUGCCAAGAAAGACUGUGAGAUAACUUUGUGACAAUUAGUAGCACAAUUCAGACUGUGUAUAUUGAUCCUUACGUAACAGUACGCUUCAGUAAGAUAUCAAUAUAAACUUUUGAGAAUUCAUCAAAUACAGACAUAACAAAUGAAACUGGCAAUUAACCCAGUUGUGUUUUUAAUGGCUAAAAUAUAUCCCUUCAGAUUCAUAUAUUUUACUUUAAAUUGUAUGUAUUCCUAAUUUUAAACCCACAUUAUUAAAAGCCUUCCACUGCUUCUUUCUACCUCUUUAGUGUUAUAGGCUGAUCAUUUUUACAGAUCACAAAUUUAACAAACAUUAUACUUUCAUUUUUCCUCUUGGAAAUAGUUGAAUAUGUACAUCCCAUAAUUACUACUCAGUCGCAAAAUUGCAUGCUACUGUAUGCAUAAGAAAUCAACAAUUGAAAACGCCAAAAAUAGAUGUUCACAAAAGAAAGUGGAGGGAAAAAUAUUCAGAUGGCAUAUCAGCAGAGGGCGCACACUCACAGCAUGGUUCUGUAAAGCUAGAUGUACCGUGUAGAACAUAUCUGAGAACAGUGUGAUCUUCUGACU